rnacentral:lncRNA from 1 species
GAAUCCAAGUGCUUCGUUUAAAUCAUAAGAAGAAUAUGAGACUAACCUGUUAAUCUCGUAAGAAAGAUACACUGGCGGACUGAUGGUGCUGCCUUUUCAAACGAACACCCUCUAUGGUAUCCACACGAACGUCUUCUAUCCUUCUAGAGUGCUAGCUCUUUCAAAGAUGGAUAGAUCAUGUGCUCCACAAUCUGCAAUCUUUUAGACUGAGUUUUCUCAAAACUUAACAUCAACAUCCUCAAUCUGUAGAAGGAGUAUUU